CCUCAUAGCAGUGUUUUGGAAUCCUAUGUGAGGGACAAUCCCUCAGACCCUAGCAGCAGUGUUCUGGAAUCCUAUGUGAGGGA
rnacentral:pre_miRNA from 10 species